rnacentral:lncRNA from 10 species
CUGACAAGCUGCUUCCUGGCAAUUUGUCCAAACUUUUACUCUGACUAGCAUUGUAUGGGAGCUUCCCUGAGUGAAUGCUGCCUUUGAAGUGGGGUCAGAGACUGAGGACCAAGGGGCACAGAGAAAGAAGAGUGUGGUCCUCGAUGGGAGGACCCAUCACAAACCGUCUUGCACAGUGUAAACCCUGGAGAGGGGCUGAAGAAACCACUGCAGCCCGGGGCCGCCCAUUCUACCUGGCCCAUGGUAGGCACUCAAGAAAUGGUUUGCUACGUGAAUAAACAAAUCCACAAACAUAUAUUUCUGAAUUCCUAUCAUGCGUCAAACACAAGAGAUAGGGAGAGAGGAGGAAAAGAAAAGCAAGGGAUCAUGGGAUAAAAGGGGACAGUGGCAGUGGGGUGGACAGAAGUCAGAACUAAAUUUACCUCAUGCUUUAAUUCGGCGAGUUUUCUUAGAAUAGUCUGACCAUUGCUUACGUUGAGGGUCUAUAGUCCUCCCUUCCCCACAAGACAAAGUCCAACCUAAUUCAGCACCAAGAUCCAAGCAGCUUGGAAGAUACAGGAGGGAAAAUUCUGGUGUAGAUUAAGUGCCACCCCCCAGCAAUGGCCAGGACACAGCAGCAAUGUUACCUAAGAAAGCAACUGCGCCUCUUGCUGAUCAGCUAGACAUGAGGGCAGUGUCCUACCUCAGCGGUUUGCAGCGGACAUGCUGUCAGGCCAUUGGGAUAGUUCCCAUAAGCCACUCCUGGUUGUCACCACUAUUCCAAGUGGGCAGGAGCAGCCUUAUUGACUGAGAUGGGCGGCUAUGGACACACAUGGGUGUACGCAUGUGAUGGAAAUGGGGGCUUGGGGCCCUGAGGGUCCACAGGGGCUGCGUGGUCAGGGAGGGUGGGCAUGGCAUCACAGGCACCCCAGGGGAGAAGCUGGCUUUCUUCCCAUACUUUUGGCACUGUUUUCUGUUUUGUUUGCCUUCAAAGAGCAAGUGAUGGCUGGACAGCAAAGAGGAGUGGAGGCCGGGAGAAUGGGCAGCUAGCCCAGCGCUCUCCAAUAUCUGGGAGUCGACCGCACUCCUGCACUCCCUGUCAUCCCUGCUAAUGCAGGUAUUACCAUUGCUCCAAUCUUACAGAUGAGGAAACUCAGGCAUGGAGAGGUUGAGCGACUUGCCCAAAUUCAUGCAGUUAGGACCUGGCAGAGCUGCGCUUUGAACCCAGGCUGCCUGGCUCUAGAGUGUGUGCACGAAACUUCACUGCCAUAUGAACAAAACUGCAGGACAUAUGUUCUCAAAGCAAAUAAGCCUCCCAGAGAGGCUUUUCCUGAUGGCUUCAAGGACCUGCCCUAGCCUGGUCUGACUUCCCAGAGGGGAUCCAGUCCCAACAUUGGCCCUAUCUUUAGACCACAUUUCCAUCCCAUUCUCAGUGAAAACCCUGAGUCAUGACAGAAGACAACCAAUGCUGGAGAGAGGAGGUUUCAGGAGGACAACAGUCAGAAUACCCCCAAGACGUCCUUCUUUCCCUAAGGUCUCAAAAUCCUUGCCUCAAGAAGUUAUUCCUGAAGUCUAGCUUGAAUUCCUCCAGAUAGAGUUUAAACCAGACAAACAGCCUACGAACAUGUUACAAUAUUCAAAAACUU